rnacentral:misc_RNA from 1 species
GAAAUGCGAUAAGUAAUGUGAAUUGCAGAAUUCAGUGAAUCAUCGAAUCUUUGAACGCACCUUGCGCCCUUUGGCUAUUCCGAAGGGCAUGCCUGUUUGAGUAUCAUGAACACCUCAACUCUCAUGGUCUGCCAUGAUGAGCUUGGACUUUGGAGGUCUUGCCGGCCUAACCGUCGGCUCCUCUCAAAUGAAUCAGCUUGCCAGUGUCUGGUGGCAUCACGGGUGUGAUAACUAUCUACGCUUGUGGUUUUCCACCAGGUAACCUUCAGCGAUGGAGGUUCGCUGGAGCUCACAGACGUCUCUCCUCAGGGAAGACAGCUUUUGAACGUUUGAUCUCAAAUCAGGUAGGACUACCCGCUGAACUUAA